UUUUUUCUUAAUUAGAUAAUUCAAAUUCAUUUGCGUCAGAGGUCGUAAAAUAAAACAAUCAAACAUGGUAGCUGUAACCAAUCCAUCAUCCAAUAAGGAUUAAACAAAAUAGUGCUAACAGUGUUACCAUUUUAUGACCUUGAAAUGAACAAAAAAGUAGUAUAAGAGUCUUUAAGGACGAUUCAAAGAGAUUUAUUUUUAAUGUCCAAGGCAAUGAAAGGAAAUACCAAUUAAUUUACAUUCAUACAAACUAUGUCCGAAAUUUAUUUGAAGGAGAACCCAAGGAGGUCACCAAACAUCCGUAAUCACUUGAACCAAUUUCUAUGCCAAAAAUUUCUUCCUUUCAUCCAGAAGACUCAACAAUUUCCUUCGAACUUGAGAUUGUACCAUUCUUCACUCAAAUUAAGCGGAAAGAAAUUAGAGAAGAUAGAUACGAAAAAAAAAAAGAAAAAUUGGAGACAAAUCAAAUCAAGGAACAA